GGGGGGGACUGACGUCGGCCUGGCUCAGUCGCACAGUCCAUGGGAAAAUCCCAAGGACGCGGGAUGACCUCCCGCCGUCUCCCGUUACCCCUCCCCCCGCCCUCCUUCCCCUGGUGCUGAGCCCACUCGGUUUGGCUGUCCUCACGGCCGUCCUCACGGCCGUCCUCACGGAUGCACGCCUGGCUCGGGCAUCGCUUCUCCCAUCCCUCACGUCGCCCCCCCUCCCCCGCCAAAUCCCCGUGAGCGGGCUGCUCUGCGCGGUUCCCAGAGCCCUUCCCGAACAGAGAGGAGCCAGGACGUGCCCCAGCAGCUGCCCGAGUCCCUGACCGUGACAUGCAAGACAGACAAACCCUCCAAAAUUAGCCCCAAGGACUGAGGAAGGAACCCAGGAGAUGACAAGGAACACAGAACUCAGAAACCACCAUCUCUCUCUUGCCUGGGACCCUGACGAUCGGGGUGACGUCUAUGACCAAUGCCGACUCAAAGCAAAAGCUGCUGAAAUCUGAGCCCCGAGUCCUGUGGAGAAGCACCCUUUAUCCCCAACUGCAUAGGCCUUUUCCCAAAAGAAUUCCCAGAACAACACAGGCUAAUGUUGAAAUUAGCAAAAAUGAAGUCAUAGCAUUGGGUGACUGGAAGGAAACUCGGGUGUCACUGAGCCCAACACCCCUGAGCUCAGAGUAGAAGAAAACCCCUGCUCGGGCUUCUGUGGUUGAAUCAAACACCCACCCCAGCGCCUGGUGCAGAGCUAGGGCUAAAGCAGCAUUUGCUCAGUAAGGGAUAUGAGCACGGGGGUUGAAAUCGCGCAGAAAGACAGUGACGGGCCCAGAAUGAAACGAUCCAGCAGAAUCUCCACUCGUGCUAAUUAAAAAAAUUCUUUAAAACGCUUCUAGUCAGGUUUUUCCCCACAUUAUUUCAUUUAGUCCUGACCCCAACCCCAAGAGGCAGACUUUAUGCCCAUUUUACCCUGGGGAGACUGAGGUCGGGAGCUAGAAGUGUCUCACCCAAGGUCACACGCUCCGUGAGUAACAGACCUGGAAUGCGAACGCGGGUUUGUCCGACCUGCAGACUCAGGCAACGUUCCGCCCCAGCGCACAGCCUCUCACUCAAGAGCUGCGAAGGCGGACGCGCCCUCCCGUCCUCUGGGGACCUCCAGAGCCCCCUCCCCAGGCAGCGCACAUACUGAGGAGAGGGGUCCCUUCAGGAUUUUCCUAGAAACAUCUAAAUUAACCCACGACUGGACUGCAAGAAUCCAGACUUCUUUCCCAUCCAUGAUCAAAUCAGGCAUAUUAGGACAUGGACUUUAAAAGAAAUGUUGUUUUCUUUAUA